CCUACGGGAGGCAGCAGUGGGGAAUAUUGGACAAUGGGCGAAAGCCUGAUCCAGCCAUGCCGCGUGUGUGAAGAAGGCCUUCGGGUUGUAAAGCACUUUCAGUGGGGAAGAAAGCCUUGGGGCUAAUACCCUCGAGGAAGGACAUCACCCACAGAAGAAGCACCGGCUAACUCCGUGCCAGCAGCCGCGGUAAUACGGAGGGUGCGAGCGUUAAUCGGAAUUACUGGGCGUAAAGCGCGCGUAGGCGGUCUGAUAAGCCGGUUGUGAAAGCCCCGGGCUCAACCUGGGAACGGCAUCCGGAACUGUCAGGCUAGAGUGCAGGAGAGGAAGGUAGAAUUCCCGGUGUAGCGGUGAAAUGCGUUGAGAUCGGGAGGAAUACCAGUGGCGAAGGCGGCCUUCUGGACUGACACUGACGCUGAGGUGCGAAAGCGUGGGUAGCAAACAGGAUUAGAUACCCCAGUAGUC
rnacentral:rRNA from 1 species